ACAAUUAGCUGUUGGGACACUAGAUGUCUUAGUAGCGAAGCUAACGCGUGAAAUUGUCCGCCUGGGGAGUACGGUCGCAAGAUUAAAACUCAAAGGAAUUGACGGGGACCCGCACAAGCGGUGGAUGAUGUGGAUUAAUUCGAUGCAACGCGAAGAACCUUACCUGGUCUUGACAUGUACGGAAUCUCUUAGAGAUAGGAGAGUGCCUUCGGGAGCCGUAACACAGGUGCUGCAUGGCUGUCGUCAGCUCGUGUCGUGAGAUGUUGGGUUAAGUCCCGCAACGAGCGCAACCCUUGUCAUUAGUUGCCAUCAUUAAGUUGGGCACUCUAAUGAGACUGCCGGUGACAAACCGGAGGAAGGUGGGGAUGACGUCAAGUCCUCAUGGCCCUUAUGACCAGGGCUUCACACGUCAUACAAUGGUCGGUACAGAGGGUAGCGAAGCCGCNAGGUGAAGCCAAUCUCAGAAAGCCGAUCGUAGUCCGGAUUGCACUCUGCAACUCGAGUGCAUGAAGUCGGAAUCGCUAGUAAUCGCAGGUCAGCAUACUGCGGUGAAUACGUUCCCGGUCU
rnacentral:rRNA from 1 species